ACUGGCAUAAAAAAUAGCCACAUCCAAGGAAGCAAUGAGGUGUGGGGACCAUCUAUUUCGGCGGGCCUUCCCACCCCCAGGCUGGCCUUCCCAUCACGCGUGGGUGUGGGGGCACUGCCCCCGCUGCGCGCAGGAACAGCGGGGAGAGCCAGGAGCGGAGCGGCUUCGGGAUGCCAGACUGAGCAGUGGUGCACAGAAGCCAAAAAGCAUUGCUGGUAUUUCGAAGGACUCUAUCCAACCUAUUAUAUAUGCCGCUCCUACGAGGACUGCUGUGGCUCCAGGUGCUGUGUGCGGGCCCUCUCCAUACAGAGGCUGUGGUACUUCUGAAACAAAAAGUAUGGUGCAAGUGAGGAAUGGAAGGAAGCCAUUCAUGUGUUCAUUCUGCAGUCAUUUACUGAAUGCUGAUGAAGUGAUAGUCAAUGAGAAUUCACAGAUGGGUUGGACAAAGUUUCUCUGUAAUUAAGGUGUGCUCCAGGAAGGGUACUUCUGUUUCCUUUGGGUGUUGAUGUGAUAAUGGAGACGUGGUCUGGAGGAUAAAUGUGCUCUGCCUUGGUGCUUUGACAGUGAAGAAUGGAAAACAG
rnacentral:sRNA from 1 species